UCAGACGUCUGCUCUUUAGAUCUUAAAAGGGGUAAACAUAUUGAGUACAAUUCUUGUGGUGAUUUAUUAUAAAGUGACCAGGUUGAUCUCUUUUGAUAUGAUUCUUUAUCAGUAAAAACUUCACUGUAACCCUCUAGGCACUGAAAUUUGUACUUUUUUUUGUGGAUGUCGAAUUCAUGUGAUGUAUUGAUCACAAUAAAAUAACAGUGAUGUAAAAUCA